rnacentral:rRNA from 1 species
GAUGAACGCUAGCGACAGGCCUAACACAUGCAAGUCGAGGGGCAGCACAAUGGUAGCAAUACUAUGGUGGCGACCGGCGCACGGGUGAGUAACACGUAUGCAACCUACCUGUAAGCGGGGAAUAACCCGGAGAAAUUCGGACUAAUACCGCAUAACACUGAAUUACUGCAUGGUAAUUCAUUUAAACAUUUAUGGCUUACAGAUGGGCAUGCGUAUGAUUAGCUAGUAGGUGAGGUAACGGCUCACCUAGGCAACGAUCAUUAGGGGUUCUGAGAGGAAGGUCCCCCACACUGGUACUGAGACACGGACCAGACUCCUACGGGAGGCAGCAGUGAGGAAUAUUGGUCAAUGGUCGCGAGACUGAACCAGCCAAGUCGCGUGAAGGAAGACGGUCCUACGGAUUGUAAACUUCUUUUAUACAGGAAUAAAGUGAGGUACGUGUACCUUUUUGUAUGUACUGUACGAAUAAGCAUCGGCUAACUCCGUG